AGGGUUCGAUUCUGGCUCAGGAUGAACGCUGGCGGCGUGCAUAACACAUCAAGUCGAACGGGCAAAGGACUCGGUCCCGCGCUAGUGGCGGACGGGUGAGUAACGCGUGAGCAACCUGCCCCCUGUGUGCGGGAUAACGUCGGGAAACUGACGCUAAUACCGCAUGACCCAAUAGAAUCGCAUGGUUCAGUUGGCAAAGAUUUAUUGCACAGGGAUGGGCUCGCGUCCGAUUAGAUAGUUGGCGGUGCAACGGACCACCAAGUCGACGAUCGGUAGCCGGACUGAGAGGUUGAACGGCCACAUUGGAACUGAGAUACGGUCCAGACUCCUACGGGAGGCAGCAGUGGGGAAUAUUGGGCAAUGGGCGAAAGCCUGAACCCCCAGCGACGCCGCGUGAAGGAAGACGGUCUUCGGAUUGUAAACUUCUUUUAUGUAGGACGAAACAAUGACGGUACUACAUGAAUAAGCCACGGCUAACUACGUGCCAGCAGCAGC
rnacentral:rRNA from 1 species